rnacentral:rRNA from 1 species
CUACGGGUCGCACCAGUGGGGAAUAUUGGACAAUGGGGGAAACCCUGAUCCAGCAAUGCCGCGUGUGUGAAGAAGGCCUGCGGGUUGUAAAGCACUUUCGGUUGGGAGGACUGCUUCUAGCACUAAUAUUGUUGGAAGUUGACGUUACCUUCAGAAGAAGCACCGGCUAACUCCGUGCCAGCAGCCGCGGUAAUACGGAAGGUGCAAGCGUUAAUCGGAAUUACUGGGCGUAAAGCGCGCGUAGGCGGCUAGAUCAGUCGGGUGUGAAAGCCCCGGGCUUAACCUGGGAACUGCAUCCGAUACUGUCUAGCUUGAGUACAGGAGAGGAGAGUGGAAUUCCACAUGUAGCGGUGAAAUGCGUAGAUAUGUGGAGGAACACCAAUGGCGAAGGCAGCUCUCUGGCCUGAUACUGACGCUGAGGUGCGAAAGCGUGGGGAGCGAACAGGAUUAGAUACCCCCGUAGUC